rnacentral:rRNA from 1 species
UGAACGCUGGCGGCAUGCUUUACACAUGCAAGUCGAGCGGCAGCGCGGGGGCAACCCUGGCGGCGAGCGGCGAACGGGUGAGUAAUGCAUCGGAACGUAUCCUCGAGUGGGGGAUAACCCAGCGAAAGUUGGGCUAAUACCGCAUGAGCUCUGAGGAGGAAAGCGGGGGACCUGCGAGGGCCUCGCGCUGGAGGAGCGGCCGAUGUCCGAUUAGCUAGUUGGUGGGGUAAAGGCUUACCAAGGCGACGAUCGGUAGCUGGUCUGAGAGGAUGAUCAGCCACACUGGGACUGAGACACGGCCCAGACUCCUACGGGAGGCAGCAGUGGGGAAUUUUGGACAAUGGGGGCAACCCUGAUCCAGCCAUGCCGCGUGAGUGAAGAAGGCCUUCGGGUUGUAAAGCUCUUUCGGACGGAACGAAAUGGGCGGGACUAAUACUCCUGUCUGAUGACGGUACCGUAAGAAGAAGCACCGGCUAACUACGUG